rnacentral:tRNA from 1 species
GGUGGCUCAGUGGUAGAGUGUAUGCUUUAUAUCCAUAAGGACUUGGGUUCAAGCCCCAGCACCA